rnacentral:rRNA from 1 species
UUACCGAGUGCGGGCUGCCUCCGGGCGCCCAACCUCCCACCCGUGACUACCUAACACUGUUGCUUCGGCGGGGAGCCCUCUCGGGGGCGAGCCGCCGGGGACUACUGAACUUCAUGCCUGAGAGUGAUGCAGUCUGAGUCUGAAUAUAAAAUCAGUCAAAACUUUCAACAAUGGAUCUCUUGGUUCCGGCAUCGAUGAAGAACGCAGCGAACUGCGAUAAGUAAUGUGAAUUGCAGAAUUCAGUGAAUCAUCGAGUCUUUGAACGCACAUUGCGCCCCCUGGCAUUCCGGGGGGCAUGCCUGUCCGAGCGUCAUUGCUGCCCAUCAAGCCCGGCUUGUGUGUUGGGUCGUCGUCCCCCCCGGGGGACGGGCCCGAAAGGCAGCGGCGGCACCGUGUCCGGUCCUCGAGCGUAUGGGGCUUUGUCACCCGCUCGAUUAGGGCCGGCCGGGCGCCAGCCGACGUCUCCAACCAUUUUCUUCAGGUUGACCUCGGAUCAGGUAGGGAUACCCGCUGAACUUAAGCAUAUCA